UCCUGUACGUUAGCAGAGCAGCCAUUAUGCAGCUUAUCAAAGGAGGGAGAAGAUGAGAUGAUCAGAGAUCGAUAAAAGUUUGGUUUUUCUUCAUUUUACUCGGUGGUGAAGUUGGGUUUUGCCUGAAAAAAAAGACUAUUUUCAUGUACUCAACAGGACUUGGUUGGGCCGAAUAAAGCGGAUUGUUUUCUGAGAUCCAUGAGCGGAAGAAACAAGAUGGCGAACCAACCCUGAACCAUGAAAGUGAUCCUAGCGAAGGACCAAGCGCCCUCUGCUGGACACUGGACAACCCUUUCUCUGCUGGAACUGCAGGUGGCGUUUGAGUCUGUGAGGCGGUAUGGAGACGUUAGCCAGCAUCAAAAUGGCAGAAGGACCAGAGUCAUCGUCUGUCGACUUUGUUGGUUUCCAGUCUUACAGGUAAACGCAGUUGAUCAAAUAUACCAGGAACUGGAGGACAACAUCUCCAGGGACUCCAAAAGAAAUCCCUGGAUAUUUUUGUUUCCUGUGGACCCCUAGGACCUCCCCGUCCUGCAUAGCCCUGCAUUUGUACAUGUUUUCCAGCUGAGAGAAGGCUGACAAGACAAAUCUUCCAGGAACUGGAGGACGACAUCUCCAGGGACUCCAAAAGAAAUCCCUUCAGAUAUGUGGCUCCUGUGGACCCCUAGGACCUCCCCGUCCUGCAUAGCCCUGCAUUUGUACAUGUUUUCCAGCUGAGAGAAGGCUGACAAGACAAAUCUUCCAGGAACUGGAGGACGACAUCUCCAGGGACUCCAAAAGAAAUCCCUUCAGAUAUGUGGCUUGUGUGGACCCCUAGGACCUCCCCGUCCUGCAUAACCCUGCAUUUGUACAUGUUUUCCAGCUGAGAGAAGGCUGACGAGACAAAUCUACCAGGAGGACAAUAUCUGCAGGGACUGCAAAAGAAAUCCCUGCAGAUAUGUGGCUCCUGUGGACCCCUAGGACCUCCCCGUCCUGCAUAACCCUGCAUUUGUACAUGUUUUCCAGCUGAGAGAAGGCUGACGAGACAAAUCUACCAGGAGGACAAUAUCUGCAGGGACUGCAAAAGAAAUCCCUGCAGAUAUGUGGCUCCUGUGGACCCGUAGGACCUCCCCGUCCUGCAUAACCCUGCAUUUGUACAUGUUUUCCAGCUGAGAGAAGGCUGACGAGACAAAUCUACCAGGAGGACAAUAUCUGCAGGGACUGCAAAAGAAAUCCCUUCAGAUAUGUGGCUUGUGUGGACCCCUAGGACCUCCCCGUCCUGCAUAGCCCUGCAUUUGUACAUGUUUUCCAGCUGAGAGAAGGCUGACGAGACAAAUCUUCCAGGAACUGGAGGACGACAUCUCCAGGGACUCCAAAAGAAAUCCCUGGAUAUUUGUGUUUCCUGUGGACCCCUAGGACCUCCCCGUCCUGCAUAGCCCUGCAUUUGUACAUGUUUUCCAGCUGAGAGAAGGCUGACAAGACAAAUCUACCAGGAGGACAAUAUCUGCAGGGACUGCAAAAGAAAUCCCUUCAGAUAUGUGGCUUGUGUGGACCCCUAGGACCUCCCCGUCCUGCAUAACCCUGCAUUUGUACAUGUUUUCCAGCUGAGAGAAGGCUGACGAGACAAAUCUACCAGGAGGACAAUAUCUGCAGGGACUGCAAAAGAAAUCCCUGCAGAUUUGUGGCUCCUGUGGACCCCUAGGACCUCCCCGUCCUGCAUAACCCUGCAUUUGUACAUGUUUUCCAGCUGAGAGAAGGCUGACGAGACAAAUCUUCCAGGAACUGGAGGACGACAUCUCCAGGGACUCCAAAAGAAAUCCCUGGAUAUUUGUGUUUCCUGUGGACCCCUAGGACCUCCCCGUCCUGCAUAGCCCUGCAUUUGUACAUGUUUUCCAGCUGAGAGAAGGCUGACGAGACAAAUCUACCAGGAGGACAAUAUCUGCAGGGACUGCAAAAGAAAUCCCUUCAGAUAUGUGGCUCCUGUGGACCCCUUGGACCUCCCCGUCCUGCAUAACCCUGCAUUUGUACAUGUUUUCCAGCUGAGAGAAGGCUGACGAGACAAAUCUUCCAGGAACUGGAGGACGACAUCUCCAGGGACUCCAAAAGAAAUCCCUGGAUAUUUGUGUUUCCUGUGGACCCCUAGGACCUCCCCGUCCUGCAUAACCCUGCAUUUGUACAUGUUUUCCAGCUGAGAGAAGGCUGACGAGACAAAUCUACCAGGAGGACAAUAUCUGCAGGGACUGCAAAAGAAAUCCCUGCAGAUAUGUGGCUCCUGUGGACCCCUAGGACCUCCCCGUCCUGCAUAACCCUGCAUUUGUACAUGUUUUCCAGCUGAGAGAAGGCUGACGAGACAAAUCUACCAGGAGGACAAUAUCUGCAGGGACUGCAAAAGAAAUCCCUGCAGAUAUGUGGCUUGUGUGGACCCCUAGGACCUCCCCGUCCUGCAUAACCCUGCAUUUGUACAUGUUUUCCAGCUGAGAGAAGGCUGACGAGACAAAUCUACCAGGAGGACAAUAUCUGCAGGGACUGCAAAAGAAAUCCCUGCAGAUAUGUGGCUCCUGUGGACCCCUAGGACCUCCCCGUCCUGCAUAACCCUGCAUUUGUACAUGUUUUCCAGCUGAGAGAAGGCUGACGAGACAAAUCUACCAGGAGGACAAUAUCUGCAGGGACUGCAAAAGAAAUCCCUGCAGAUAUGUGGCUUUUGUGGACCCCUAGGACCUCCCCGUCCUGCAGAGCCAUACGACAGAAAAAAGAAUGGCCAUCAAUCCAUGAACAUGGGUCGUUCACUAAGCCCAAAAUUCAUUUUUAUCAGGUACAAUGUGAAUGCAAAUUGUGGUGGGUUUUGACAUUCGUGGUGGGGCUCAAAUGUUCGCUCAAAGUGUAAAUAGAAAGAAUCGCUGAAAAAAUCUGGUCUUUCACUCCAGAACUGCAGAAGGACAUAAAAAAGGAAUUUGGUUCUAAAAAUAAAAAUGACCUGGACCCAUUUAGUUAAACCAGUGAGUCAGUAGAACCCAGUCAUCUUCAUAGUACAGAUGACAGUUUGGAUUGACCUUCACUGCACAAACGGUGAGGUCAAUAAGUCUUUGAUCACCCUGUGAUUUAGCAAGUUCUCCCACUUAGAAAACAUGGAGGGGUCUAAUAUUUUCAUCAUGGGUGCAUUUCCACAGUGAGAGACAG